rnacentral:rRNA from 1 species
UACGAAGGGGGCUAGCGUUGUUCGGAAUUACUGGGCGUAAAGCGCACGUAGGCGGAUUGUUAAGUGAGGGGUGAAAUCCCAGGGCUCAACCCUGGAACUGCCUCUCAUACUGGCAAUCUCGAGUUCGAGAGAGGUGAGUGGAAUUGCGAGUGUAGAGGUGAAAUUCGUAGAUAUUCGCAAGAACACCAGUGGCGAAGGCGGCUCACUGGCCCGAUACUGACGCUGAGGCACGAAAGCGUGGGGAGCAAACAGG